UGAUGCUAUUUGUCUGCUUUCUUUGUCCGCAUUGUCAAGUGUAAAUGGGGUAUCCUGUGAAAUUCUGUUGCUACAGCAAGCAAUGUAUGUUUCUGUCUCAAAAGAGAGUAUGCAAAGUGUUUGAUGAAUGUUACAGAGCAACAUAUUUUCAAGGAUGAUAACUUUCAAGGAUGAUAACUUUCUAUUUUACCGGAGUUCCAGAGAGACGUGGAGGGGAAAAUCUAAUAAAAUUAUCACACACGAAGAGUAGCAAGGAUAACAUAUAGGACUUACCCUGAGGGUCCUGAAUAUUGUCAAGGAUGAAAGAAGGGACAAAUGGAUUGUUGAA